rnacentral:rRNA from 1 species
UACGUAGGGUGCGAGCGUUAAUCGGAAUUACUGGGCGUAAAGCGUGCGUAGGCGGUUCGCUAAGUCCUGUGUGAAAGCCCCGGGCUCAACUCGGGAAUGGCAUGGGAAACUGACGAGCUGGAGUGUGGCAGAGGGGGGUGGAAUUCCGCGUGUAGCAGUGAAAUGCGUAGAGAUGCGGAGGAACACCGAUGGCGAAGGCAGCCCCCUGGGCCAACACUGACGCUGAGGGCACGAAAGCGUGGGGAGCAAACAGG